rnacentral:RNase_P_RNA from 1 species
GCAGCCGGCCGGAUGACCGCCGCUGCCGGUAACCGCGGGCAACCGCGAAGUGCCGGCAGGGGAGGAAAGUCCGAACUCCGCAGAGCAGUGCGCCGGGUAACACCCGGGCGGGGCAACCCGACGGAAAGUGGCACAGAAAAUAUACCGCCCGCCUUCGCCCUCGGCUCUCUGAGCCUCGGGCUUCGGCGGGGCAAGCCCAUGACAGGGGGCGCGCGCACGGAGCCGAGGGCUCCCGCGAGCGGCCCCCCUCUCAGGGUUUACCCCGCCGCAGCGCGGAGCCCGGAGGGCGGAGCGCGAAGGUGGGUAAGGGUGAAAUGGUGCGGUAAGAGCGCACCGCGCCGCUGGCAACAGCGGUGGCAGGCCAAACCCCGCACGGAGCAAGACCAAAUAGGGAGGCGAUUGGCGCCUCGGCGUCGCAAGACGCCGGGGACGGCCAGGGAGGGCGGCUCGCCCAAGGCUUCCGGGUAGGUUGCUCGAUCCCGUCAGCAAUGACGGGGCUAGAGGAAUGGUCAUCCCGCCGAAGCGCGCGGGCCGCAAGGCCCGCGUGCGAAGGCGGACAGAAUUCGGCUUACAGGCCGACUGCGGCG